rnacentral:lncRNA from 1 species
AGAUCAAAUAAGAUGCAAGAGCAAUUAGCAAACCCUUUAUGAGUUCUUGUUCUUCCCCAAUUCUUUCUUGGCACAGUAUUCCAUCCUCAAUUUAAUGUCUAACUUGAUAUUAAUUUGUAAAUUUGAGGAUAUGGGUUUUCAACUGGAUCGAAGAACAAUUCUCAAUUUCUCAUCUUAAAGUUGAAUCACUGAUUCACAACUUCAAAAAUCAGGAAUUAGAGCAUAAACACCAUCUGUUAGAGGUUAUUACGGGAUGGAGGGAUCUGCAGAUAAGCUGUAAUUUAGGAUAAUUCACUGGUGAUUUCUGUGCUUUAUUUCGAAAAGAUUUUUACUUUCAUGUGGGGAUUAAUUGCUUUCCAUUUAAAUAAACUCCUAAAAUUAUGGGGCUCUAUUUCAAAAUACAUGUAUGUGAUUAGCUUAGAAUGUUAUUGGAGAGAAAGUGUUGCCCAUCGUAGUUCUAUCAUGUUAAGGGCAUUUUGAUCAUUUUCAAGUGUUAAAAUUAAUUGAAGAAGGCAUCAAAAUUGAGUGUAUUCCCAACAUUGACAAAAGGGCAAUCAGCUUAAUUUCUGAAAUCGAAUUUGGAUUAUUUUACAGAAUUUCAGUAUCUAGUAUUAAGAUGGGCGAAAAAUUGGUAGUCUUUCAUUUGUGUUGUAUCUAAUAAAUAACAAUUUUGUUGCUUCUAAUACUUCAAGUAUUUAUUUGUUUUUGACUUGUUUGAGUAUUCAAAUUGACAUAAAUGGCCAACCUACCAAAUACCAACUAUAGAUGUAGCAGCUUUGCUGCUUUGACUAAUUUUUUAGUGUUUGAUUUUUCUAAUACAUUGUUAUCUAACUCUUGGGGAUUUUUUUUUGAAUUGUUUAUUUUUUAAUUAAUUAUAAUUGAAAAUUAAAU